ensembl:lncRNA
UAUUAAUAUACAUUGUAAUACUGACAGGCUCUAAUUUAUAACACCCUGGCUGGCUCGAGUAUUCUCCUGACUUGAGAGGUGUUUUCUGCAUUUCUUCCUCUGCAGUUAAACGGUACAAAUAGAGGGGUGGAGCAGAAAGAAAAGCAAGGAAAAAAAUCUGCUCAGACAGAGAGACAAAACAAGCAACUGCUUAAGGGAUUUGGCAGUAAAUGGAAUUGCCCCCUUCCCCCUCCCCGCUUGAAGCCUGGUUCAGCAUGUACUGGUGGUGGAUCACAG